AUUGAACGCUGGCGGCAGGCUUAACACAUGCAAGUCGAGCGAGCGGCGGACGGGUGAGUAAUGUCUGGGAAACUGCCUGAUGGAGGGGGAUAACUACUGGAAACGGUAGCUACUACCGCAUACCACCCGUUGUGCCGCUUUGGGAUUAGCUAGUGGGUGGGGUAAUGGCACACCUAGGCGACGAUGCCUAGCUGGGCUGAGAGGAUGACCAGCCACACUGGAACUGAGACACGGUCCAGACUCCUACGGGAGGCAGCAGUGGGGAAUAUUGGACAAUGGGCGCAAGCCUGAUGCAGCCAUGCCGCGUGUGUGAAGAAGGCCUUCGGGUUGUAAAGCACUUUCAGCGAGGAGGCGUUACUCGCAGAAGAAGCACCGGCUAACUCCGUGCCAGCAGCCGCGGUAAUUC
rnacentral:rRNA from 1 species